rnacentral:rRNA from 1 species
UAGGUGAACCUGCGGAAGGAUCAUUCUUG